rnacentral:siRNA from 1 species
UCAAGAAGGUCUUGAAUUGCCUA